rnacentral:lncRNA from 1 species
GGCUCACGAAAGGGUCAACAUUGGUCGUCCUACCCCUAGGCCUAAUUCCCAUAAGUUGAUACCUAGGGCACUAUCAUGGUCAUACUCUUCUUUUGAUCCAAAUUUCAAACAAUAUCAGCACCGCAAAAAUCCACAUCACCAUCUUGUGUUUUACCGAGGAGAGAUUGAUGACAUGUUGGAAACAGAUUGGGUGUGGCGUCCAUACCAGAUAUUUGACACACGUUUGGGUUGGGACUUUUUUG